rnacentral:misc_RNA from 1 species
AACGCACAUUGCGCCCCCCGGUAUUCCGGAGGGCAUGCCUGUUCGAGCGUCAUUUCACCAAUCAAGCCCCGCUUGGUAUUGGGCGUCUGGCCCGCCUCUACGGCGGGCCCGCCCCAAAGACAUCGGCGUGGACACCGACCCCCGGCGUAUUAGAUCUUUCACGAGAGACGUCGCGAGCACCGGUGGCCGCAGCCGCGAAGGGAACGGGAGCCCCCCCCGGGGCAGACCGUCCGCCCCAUCUCAGGUUGACCUCGGAUCAGGUAGGGAUACCCGCUGAACUUAA